UGUAUAGUCUAUGAAUAUAUACUUUAUGUAUUGAUUAUUUUGUUUCAAAUCCCAUUCAGGCUACAAGUGUCAAGAAAGAUUCUGUUUCGAAUAUAGCCACAGAGAUAAAGGAUGGACAAAUACGUGGGACAGGUAUUUUGGAAUACACCUUUAAUGUAAUGUUCGAUCAAAUAGAAGAGAAAUUCACUUCCCCAAAUAAAUCAGCGGGGGGUUCAUUGAAGCUUUAUGUUUGGAUUCAGCAUGCUUGAGAUUCUUCAUUUGUAAUAAGUCCUCGGGUGACCCUGAUGGUGCUGGUCCUUGACCAUGAUCUGAGUAGUAAGAUUGUAGACUUCCCUACAUUGAAAUUGGGAAGAAGAGCCAUAGGAGAGCGGUUCAGCACAUAACAGCCUCAGGGGACAGCAUCAUUUUGCUUUAAUUCUACAGCAAGUUUCCAUCAAGAGGGGAAGGAGAACGAGACGAAGUAAUAGAUAUUAUAGGCGUCAGAUCAUAUUGUUAUAAACGGAGGGAAAAGUGAUCCUAAUACCUCAAAAACAGCGUAGAAUGAGAACAAACAAGAUCACUGAAGUAGCAAUUAUUUUCCACAAGGAAGAGGGAUUGUGAGGCAGGAAGGAGAGAAAAGAAGAAGUUAUUUAUGUAAUUUUGGGGUUUCUGUUGAGGAAAGCUGAGUGAACUCACUUCAGAUAAAUUUGGAAUAUUUGCAUAAAAGAAUAUUAAAUUUUGGCUUCUCCAAGAACUACUGGAAGCAGGAAACAAUGCUAGAAUUGGGAUAAAGCACACUGACUCGUUACUCCUCUUUGUUACUGUUAGGCAUCAGAGAUACACGUUUUGUUGAUUUUAGUUAUAAAAAUGAGAUAAACUUGAAUAUGAAUACAUUGGCUUCAUUGUUCAAGGAGCUAACUCUUGGGUAAAAUAGCUAUUGGAUGAAACUUCUUUAGAGAAUAGCAUGAUACUCCCAACAAGACUAUUAUAGAAACAAAAAGUAUGUGGAAUUCUAAUUAACUCCUAAAGUGGUCAUUUUCAAUGAAUAUUGGAGUGAUUUGUGAAUGUAAAACAUAUUAAUAUCUAACGCUUGUAGCAGUUUUACUCUGUAGAAGUAUGUCAAAAUUGAUAAUUGAUGAUAUUUUUAUUGAGGCUAAUAUAUUAUCCUUUGGUGCCAUGAAUGGAUGAAGAAAUUUUGGAAAGCUAAACGAGUGGAUACAAGAAACUUAGGCAAAUUAUUACACCACGUGGGUGUGAGGAAUAAUAAAUAUUAUCUACUCAGUUUCAGCAAACAGAUAUCCAAGGUGAUCAAUUUAGGACUCUUCCACUGAAGAGACGUGAAGUGUACAUUCAACUGAAGUGUCAUUGUAAUUGUGUACCUUCUCUGUUAUCGGGCAAGUUAAAGAGCAUGAUGAAUGUCUGUAGUAUAAUGGUGUAAAUCCUUUUGAUUUCUUGCAUGAAAGACCUGUGGGAUCAAGUACCAUCUGCUUUGACAUUGAUUCUCAAUUGUAUGAGUUGAUCCUCUGAUUUUAGAUCACAUUUGUCCUCAUCACUCAGCAUAUCCACGUUGACAUUGACAGGGUUUUAUUUUAGUUUUAGACAUAUGACAAAUCAUACCAUGCUUGAAAUUGUAAGUAUAUUUUUCAUGAAGGCUGUAUUACUUUUUUCAGUGUAUUUCUGUCAUGUUCCAAUCCCCAGACACAAAGUAGGAAACAUCAAAUCCUACCCUAAUACAGGCAGAAGGAUACAGCUUGAUGCUAACACUGCAUGAAUGUAUGAAUAACUUUAUCAUACGUGCAUGUGGGUGAUUAUGUAUCCCUUUUGCUUUUCAGUGUCUUCUCAGAGACAACCAGCCUUGAAGGUAAUUAAACUCUUAUUUAUAUUGUGAACUAGUAAUUGUAUAGUCUAUGAAACAUACUUUAUUGAUUUAUUAUUUUGUUUCAAAUUCCAUUCAGGCUACAGGUGAUGAGAAAGAUUCUGUUUCGAAUAUAGCCAGAGAAAUAAAGGAUGGAGAAAAAUCUGGGACAGGUAAUUUUGCAAAACACAUUUAAUGUCAUGUUCAGUCCAGAUAGAAAAGAACUUCUCUUCCCAAAUAAAUCAACGGAGGGCUCGUCGAAGCUGCACAUUCUGAUUCUGCAGACCUGAGAUUCUUCAUUUGUAAUAAGUUCUCGGGUGACGCUGAUGCUGCUGGUCUUGGACGUGAUCUUCGAAGUAAGAUUAUAGACUUCCCCACAUUGAAAUUGGGAAGAAGAAACAUUGGAGAGCAUGUCAAGACACAAGGGGCUCAGGGUACAGCAUAAUUUUGCUUUAAUUCUACAGCAUGUUUUCACCAAGGGUGGUAGGAGAUAGAGAUGAAGUAUAGAUUUUACAGACAUUACAUCGUGUUCCUAAAAACAGACGGAAAAGUGAUCAUAAUAACCCAUAAACACUGUAGAACAAGAACUAACGAGACCGCUGAUGUAGAAAUUACUUUCCUCAAGGAAGAGGGAUUGUCAGGCAGAAAGGAGGGAAAAUAAGAAGUUAUUUAGGUAAUUUUGUUGUUUCUUCUGAGGAAACGUGAGUUCAGAUGCAUAUUCAAAUAUUUUCCUAAAAGAAGAUUUGAUUUUGGCUGCUUUAGGAACCAAUGGAAGCAGGAAGGACUCCUAGAAUUGGGAUAAACCACAGUGACUCAUUACUCCUCUUUGUUACUCUUGGGCAUCAGAGAUAUAUGUUUUGUUGAUAUUAGUUAUUCAAGUGAAAUAAACAUGAAUAUACAUAUAUUGGCUUUGCUUUUCAAUUAGCUAACUUUGGAUAAAAUAGCAAUUUAAUGAAAAUGCUUUAGAGAGUAGCAUGAUACUUCAAACCAGACUAUUUUAGAAACAAAAUUAAUUUGAAUUCAUUAAUUGACUUUUAAAAUUGUUAUUUUCAAUGAAUAUUGGAGUAAUUUCCAAAUGUAAAAGGUUAUUCAUAUCUAAUGCUUGUAGCAACUUUAUUUUGUAUAAGUAUGUCAAAUUUGAUCAUUUAUUAUACUUUUUGAUAUGGUUUAUAUAUUAUACUUUGUUGCCAUGAGUGGAUGAAGAACCUUUCUGUAGCAUAAACUAGAGGACACAACAAAUGUAGGCACAUUAUUACACCACGUGGGUUUGAGAAAUGAAGAAUAUUGUAUACAGGAUUAUCCAAACCUAUAUCCAAGCUGAUGAAGCUGCGACACUUCCACUGAGGACUUGUGAAGUGUACAUUCUACUAAAGUGUCAUUGUCAUUGUGUACCUCCUCAAUUACCAGGCAAGUUAAAGAGCAUGAUGAAUACUUGCAGUACAAUGGUAUAAAUCCUUCUGAUGUCUUGCAUGAAAAACAUGCAGUAGCAUUUAGUACCUUCUUUGACAUUGAUUCCUGGGUGUAUGAGUUGCUCCUCUGAUUUUAGAUCACAUUUCUUUUCAUCAUUCAGUAUAUCCACAUUGAUAUUGACACUUUUUAUUUCAGUAAUACACACAUGACGCAUAAUACCUCUUUGUAAUUUCUGACUGUAUAUUUUCUGGAAGCGUGUAUUCCUAUUUUCUUCAGUGUAUUUCCUCAUGUUCCUGUCCCAAAGACACAAACUGUAAAACAUCAAAUCCUACACUAGUACAGGCAGGAGGAUACAGCUUGAUGCUAACACUGCAUGAAUGUAUGGAUAACUUUAUCAUAUUUACAUAUGAUGGAUUAUAUAUUUCUUUUACUUUUCAGUGUCUCCUCAGAAACAAUCGGCCCAGAAGGUUAUAUUUAAAAAGAAAGUUUCUCUUUUGAAUAUUGCCACAAGAAUAACGGGCGGUUGGAAAUCUGGAACAGAGUAUCCUGAGAAUCUGCCCACCUUG
rnacentral:lncRNA from 10 species